CGCACUUCCAGAUAUGCACAAUGAUGCUCUCUGCAAGAUCCGUGUCUGAUUCUUACCAGCUAUGUUUAAGGGUGUAAUAAUACAAGGGCCUUAUCUCCCAGAACACAGGGACAUCUAGUCUGCCUAAUAAACACUGUUAAUCUUCUAAGAAGCCUGAGAACACCAAAGUUCUACCUUAACUCAAAGAAGACAGAAUUAUGGAGACAGUCAUUUUUUAUUA